rnacentral:rRNA from 1 species
GACGAACGCUGGCGGCGUGCUUAACACAUGCAAGUCGAACGGAAAGGCCCUGCUUUUGUGGGGUGCUCGAGUGGCGAACGGGUGAGUAACACGUGAGUAACCUGCCCUUGACUUUGGGAUAACUUCAGGAAACUGGGGCUAAUACCGGAUAGGAGCUCCUGCUGCAUGGUGUGGGUUGGAAAGUUUCGGCGGUUGUGGAUGGACUCGCGGCUUAUCAGCUUGUUGGUGGGGUAGUGGCUUACCAAGGCUUUGACGGGUAGCCGGCCUGAGAGGGUGACCGGCCACAUUGGGACUGAGAUACGGCCCAGACUCCUACGGGAGGCAGCAGUGGGGAAUAUUGCACAAUGGGCGGAAGCCUGAUGCAGCAACGCCGCGUGCGGGAUGACGGCCUUCGGGUUGUAAACCGCUUUCGCCUGUGACGAAGCGUGAGUGACGGUAAUGGGUAAAGAAGCACCGGCUAACUACGUG